CCCCAAGUCCAGCCGACUGCAGAGGGGCGCGCUGUAUAUGCACGGUUUAAAUUAAUUUAUACAGAGACAACUAUUUUAAUAGGACUCCGAAGCCGCCUUUUAGAUUUGUACCGUAGCGCCCAUGAACGCCGCUGGAGAGGGCUGGCACGGCGACGCUGGGAGACGCGACCGCCAGACCUUUGUGCUCCGAGGGCCAGGGUUCUGAACGGGCAGAGCUGGGCGUCCCCCGCUUCCCACGUGUGACCUCAAGCUGCCCCGUCUCUGGGGGGACUUGGUUUCCUCAUUUUGAAAUCAGACUCGCGCCUCUUGCCUUGUCCCCGAUGCUGUCACGGUCCCACUGGGGGACCGAAGGGGUUUCCACUCCACGAGUAUCCUCCGCUUUAAGGAGGAAACCCCACCCGGAUAAAGUCAGACAUGCCAGGCGGGCGGCAGACCUGGAUGGAGCGCCCUUUUAGAUUCUGAAGUCAAGGCAGAUCCUGAUGAGUUAAGUCCAGCGAAUACAACUCCCGCUGUCUUUAAAAGACGUUCAUGAGUCUCAUUAAAAGUUGUUUUAAUUUAACCCUUUCUUCAAUACAAAAAACAAGCUGAAGACCAAGGGGAACAUGGUUGUGUUUCACAAGUACACAGAGCGCCAGAUAUUUUAUGAAAAUGACAUGUGGAUGAGUUAGGUGCCCAAGGCGAUUGGCUACCCGGGUCAAGUGAUUACAAAAUUCCCCUGGCCCACACAGACCCCUAAUUCCCUAGGCUCGUGUUUGCUACAAGUAGUGCUAAUAAAGUUAGUUAAAUUGCAUGUGCAAUAUGGAAAAUUGUCAAUGGACUGCGCCUCGUGAGGAAAACCUGCUAAAGGGAUGUAAUGAAAAUGAUGUGUACAUUUUCUUCAGCAUUUUCUGCAUUUUAUACAUAGCAAGAAAACUCCAUAUGAAUGUGUCAUGUGUAACAGAUAAACAAAUCCUUUUAUAAAGCGCCAGCAGUGUUUUAAAAAUAAACUUCCAUUGAUUUUUGUUUGAUUUUUAUAUUUUUGCCUCAAGAUUUCACUAUUUCAAAAUCCUCUCAUGGCUCUGAAACUCUGAAGCGGAUCAGUGCAUCAAACUGCCAUCUUUCAAUUUGCUCCACACUAUAAACACACCAUCAUUUUGCCGCUUUUUCAAAAAUGGUUUACUUUUAGGAACUCCACCUUUCUGAGCAGAAAGGCUUUUCAGAAAUGUCUUUAAUUCAUCGUUCUAGACUCAAAGUGCACUUACAUCGACUGUUCUCAAAAUGUGAAAUGAUUUGUUGCCCACCCAGUGUCAUAUGAGGACCUGCCCCACUCCCUCACAUGGUGUCGGUUCCCUUAUGGUACAAUUUGCAAAUUAAGGAACAUGCGUUGUGCAGUGAAAGGGCUGGGUCAUAAGCGUCGGAUGUAUACACUCUAUCCUGCACUUACCUGUACCUCAUUAGGAGCUCUUUGAGUGUGUGCAUACACAAAAUAAGCCUGGGGUAUUAUUUUUUAUGCUCACGAGUCUCGUAGUUAAACCAUGAUUCCUGGAAAGUGCAAGUUUGAGGAGCAGGCGAUAUCACCUGACAUUUUUGAAUAAAGAACUGCAGUAUGCUUUUCUGUCUACCUUGUUAUUAACCAUUGGGGGCUAUAUUUAGUAAAUACAAAUCUUGAAGCCUUUCGGAGCAGUUUAAGAUCAAAGGUUACUCUGAAUAAAACCGUUAUGUAUCUAUUUUUUUUGGUGAGGAAGAUUGUCCCUGAGCUAGCAUCUGUGCCAGUCUUCCUCUAUUUUGUAUGUGGGAUGCUGCCACAGCAUGGCUUGAUGAGUGGUGUGUAGGUCCUUGCCUGAGAUCCAAACCUGUGGAUCCUGGGCUGCCAAAGCAGAGUAGUGGAGUGCACGAACUUAACCACUGUGCUACCUGGCUGGCCCCAGAUGGUUUAUAAAUUUACAAAUGAUAGCGUAAAUAAGCUUAACAUGAGUGUGUAUGUACUUGAAAAAUAAAACAUGUACUAGAGAAAACUCCCUUGUCUAAACACACAUCACGGUUUUCAUAGCCUAGAACAGGAAGGCAGAUUCCUACACGAGCCGGCUUCCAGGCGGCCAGCAGCUCAAUGCAAAGUUAACAGCAGUUUCUAUGGCAACCUAAUAUUGUUACCUCCCUCUUUAAGAGUCUGCACAUUUAAGCUGGGGAUAUCGUUUCUUGACUUCUGUGAGGCUCUGGCAGGGGAAGAGGAAGCAUUUUAAUAAAUAUGCCUCCCUUUCACAAAAAAAGAAGAAAAAGAAAACUCUCAGUGAGUCCUAACAUGUUGACAAAAACGCCAGAUCAAAUGGAUUUGAGAAAUAAUCCCAGUUCAAGACUGGCUCGGCCCUCCAUGGCCUCCCAGGGAAAGGAAUUCCUUUAUGUUCAUGGAAGCCCUUUCUAGAAAGGCGAUUCCAUUCAUACCUUUGUAGAGAAGUGAACAGGGUGUGAAGGGCUGCUCACCCCCCACCUCCUUGUCCUUUUAAAGUCCGAUGGGCCACGCCUUCCUCCCUCGGACCCUAACCCUAAGGGUGGGAGAGCUUUAUCCCGUCAAUGACUCCUGUAUAAAGUCCACCCAAAGUUGUAAUUUGUUCUAACUGUAAGACAGUUAAGGUAGACUGUGGGGGCUGCUAUGGAUAAAAUGGAAUAAAAACAUCUUCAAACAGACACCAGAAAAUUACAGUAGCUUAAACUUUUAGUGAAUUGUAGCGCUUGCGUUAUCUAAAAUGCAUUAUUCAAGCAGUUCCUAAACUUAAGUAUGAGAUCUCAGGUUAAAAUCUUGGGGAGAAAACUGUUGAGACGAAAGUCAAGCAGUGUUCACAAAAGAAUAAGAAAAGUUUUACAAGAACAAAAUCUGUUCCUAUGUUAAACUUGUUAUUACGUUAAAUUUAUUUUCAAGUCUAAAAACACAUUAAAUUGUGAUUUAAUUUUUUUCUCACUUCAGUUUAAAAGGCUUAUACUUUUGGGUUUUGCUGACUUUCAUUCUUUGGAGCAAUAAGAUUCCUCUUUUGUAUGAUGCAUAAUACAUUUGUCAAAAAUACAUCAAAAAAGAAAGGAAAAAAGCACCCGGUUUCUUAAUACUUAGAAAUACAUACAUAUUCCUUACUAUGUAAAACUAUUUAUUUUGUAAAAAUGUUUAAAUAUGAAUAAAAAUACUGUAACCAAAA
ensembl:lncRNA